UAAAAAGGAAGGGAAUUCUGACCCAUUCUCUAACAUGAGUGAACCUAGAGGACAUGAUGCCAAGGGGAAAUGAGCCAGUCACAAAAGGACCAAAACUGUGCUUGUGAGAUCAAAAGUCCAAGAACUGAUUGUUCCUCUGAGAUGUCUCAUCCACCAUCUCUCCCCUAAUGCAGAAUGCAGUGUUUGGACCACAAGAGAUGCUCAACAAUGAACCAAGAAAUGCCAGCGAAAUGGUUGGGUACAAAUAUGGUCUUCAGGUUUUUCAGGUAAUAUGGAGAAAAUAAAUGUGAAGCACACUGCCAACUGCAAUGUCCAUGCAGAUCCCUCAACCACAUGGAUGCAGCAGAACGUAAUCAAUAAUCGUGUUGGGAUAAUAUGAGUUGUCAUCUAGACAACUGCUGAUGGAACCAGGAAGGAAUGUUUUACCUGAGCUGGACCACAGUUCCUCCUCUGAGAAUCAGGAAACGGAACUAAGAGACUGUCAGCUCAAUCUGACUUGACAACUUGAAAACAGGAGAGAAGUGAGUGGCUUUGCCAUCACAUGGACAAAGAAGUGAUGAGGCUCAGGUCUGAACCGCAGCAGACAUGCCGGGUACCACUGAAAUAAGACUAGGACACAAAUACCCCCAUACCAAUCCUGGUCCGAGGUCCAAGUAGUCCGGAGGCAUCUGUCCUCUUGGAUUUUCCCAGUAAAGUUUCCAUUCUUUGUUUCUGAUGGCUCUAACUGGUUUUUUGUUGACUUGGAUAAAAAUAAAU
rnacentral:lncRNA from 1 species